UACAGAGGUCUCAAGCGUUGUUCGGAUUCAUUGGGCGUAAAGGGUGCGUAGGCGGCGCGGUAAGUCGGAUGUGAAAUCUCGGGGCUUAACUCCGAAACUGCAUUCGAUACUACCGUGCUUGAGGACUGGAGAGGAGACUGGAAUUUACGGUGUAGCGGUGAAAUGCGUAGAUAUCGUAAGGAAGACCAGUGGCGAAGGCGGGUCUCUGGACAGUUCCUGACUCUGAGGCACGAAGGCCAGGGGAGCAAACGGG
rnacentral:rRNA from 1 species